rnacentral:rRNA from 1 species
UACGGGGGGGGCAAGCGUUGUUCGGAAUUACUGGGCGUAAAGGGCUUGUAGGUGGCCAACUAAGUCAAACGUGAAAUCCCUCAGCUUAACUGGGGAACUGCGUCUGAUACUGGAUGGCUUGAGUUUGGGAGAGGGACGCGGAAUUCCAGGUGUAGCGGUGAAAUGCGUAGAUAUCUGGAGGAACACCGGUGGCGAAGGCGGCGUCCUGGACCAAUACUGACGCUGAGGCGCGACAGCGUGGGGAGCAAACAGG